AAUAACUUAAUUUUUUUAGCACCACCAAUAGACGUUAUAAACCCCACUCAAUAGUAAUGACCUUUGAUUUACUUUUAGAAACUUUCUCCAACUAUCUUAUUGCUAAGCUGCUCAAGAGUCUAAGCUUUUUAAAACUGAAACAAUAAUAAUUUAAUUACUCUGUUUUGUUCCUAUGUGGUUGGAUCAAAUUACAAUCUGAUUUGAAGUUCAAUUGAAAAUUUUGAUGACAUGGCACAGAAUGGUUAAAUCUUA
rnacentral:misc_RNA from 1 species